GACGAACGCUAGCGGGAUGCCUUACACAUGCAAGUCGAACGGAGUGGCGAACGGGUGAGUAAUGUAUCGGAACGUGCCCAGUAGCGGGGGAUAACUACGCGAAAGCGUAGCUAAUACCGCAUACUAUUGGAGCGGCCGAUAUCGGAUUAGCUAGUUGGGGGGGUAACGGCUCACCAAGGCGACGAUCCGUAGCCGGUUUGAGAGGACGACCAGCCACACUGGGACUGGAACCUGGCCCAGACUACUACGGGAGGCAGCAGUGGGGAAUUUUGGACAAUGGGGGAAACCCUAAUCCAGCCAGCCCGCGUGUGCGAUGAAGGCCUUCGGGUUUUAAAGCACUUUUGGCAGGAAAGCGGUACCUGCAGAAUAAGCACCGGCUAACUACGUGCCAGCAGCCGCGGUAAUAC
rnacentral:rRNA from 1 species